rnacentral:rRNA from 1 species
CGUAGGCGGGUCCGCAAGUCGGUCGUGAAAUCCUUCGGCUCAACUGAAGGGGGUCGGUCGAUACUGCGGGUCUUGAGGGAUGCAGAGGAGACUGGAAUUCCCGGUGUAGCGGUGAAAUGUGUAGAGAUCGGGAGGAACACCGGUGGCGAAGGCGGGUCUCUGGGUAUCUCCUGACGCUGAGGCGCGAAAGCGUGGGGAGCAAACG